GACGCCAGCGGCCGGAGGAGGACUGGGAGCCCCAGGACGGCACCUUCUGCUGAGGCCCCGCACCCCUGCUCCCCAGCAUGGCGCCGGUUCCCAGAUGAUGGUUGACCGGCGUGAGGGAGAACUUUCUGGAAGCACAUGGCCGCCCGUGAGGGUCCCCCACUCAGAGCAGAGGACCUGGGGCCAGGACCCCGUCUGUCCCCGACAUCUCAGGGACACGCACGUCCUCCCUGGACAGCAGGUGCGCCCUUUUCUAGCCCAGCACCCGCCCGCCAUGCUCUGUCCUGCUGGCCCCACACAGGCACUCACGUUCCCGUGACCGGGUGCCACUGCGUGUGUCCCCUCCAGGCUGACAUUUCCAGAGUUAGAGGCGGCUCAACACCAAGCGCCCACAGAGCCCUGGGGUGCUAGGUACCAGAGGGGGCUCCGGUGUGCGGUCUGUCUGUCUGUCUGUCCGAAUGGAAAGUAAAGGCCAGUGUGGGAGACAGCACAGUGGAUACACAGUCUCCGGCCUGAGACUCAAGGUCCUGGGUUCAGUCCCCAACACCACCACUAGUCAGUUCAGCAGGGCUCUGGAGGGAAUAGGGGGAGGGAGUGUAGCUGACUGAGCUCCUGUCCCUCCCAGAAGUGAGAAUCCUAAUUGGCUAAGCCCCACCACUGGGAGGUGAGAAUUCCAGUGACUAGGCCCCCAUUCCCUCUGGGAGGUGAGAGUCCUGGAUGGCUGAGCCCCAUUCCCUCUGGGAGGUGAGAGUCCUGGAUGACUGAGCCUCAUUCCCUCUGGGAGGUGAGAGUCCUGGAUGACUGAUCCCCAUUCCCCCAGGAGGUGAGAGUUCUGGAUGACUGAGCCCCAUUCCCCCAGGAGGUGAGAGUUCUGCAUGACUGAGCCCCAUUCCCUCUGGGAGGUGAGAGUCCUGGAUGACUGAUCCCCAUUCCCCCAGGAGGUGAGAGUUCUGGAUGGCUGAGCCCCAUUCCCCCAGGAGGUGAGAGUCCUGGAUGGCUGAGCCCCAUUCCCCCAGGAGGUGAGAGUCCUGGAUGGCUGAGCCCCCUUCCCCAGGAGGUGAGAGUCCUGGAUGACUGAGCCCCAUUCCCUCUGGGAGGU